rnacentral:rRNA from 1 species
UGCCCCCAGUAACGCGAGUGAAGCGGCAACAGCUCAAAUUUGAAAUCUGGCCCCCCGGCCCGAGUUGUAAUUUGCAGAGGAUGCUUUUGGUGAGGCACCUACCGAGUCCCCUGGAAUGGGGCGCCAUAGAGGGUGAGAGCCCCGUAUGGUAGGACGCCGAGCCUCUGUAAAGCUCCUUCGACGAGUCGAGUAGUUUGGGAAUGCUGCUCUAAAUGGGAGGUAAAUUUCUUCUAAAGCUAAAUACCGGCCAGAGACCGAUAGCGCACAAGUAGAGUGAUCGAAAGAUGAAAAGCACUUUGAAAAGAGGGUUAAAAAGUACGUGAAAUUGUUGAAAGGGAAGCGCUUGUGACCAGACUUGCGCCGGGCGGAUCAUCCAGCGUUCUCGCUGGUGCACUCCGCCCGGUUCAGGCCAGCAUCGGUUUUCGCCGGGGGACAAAGGCUUCGGGAACGUGGCUCCUUUCGGGGAGUGUUAUAGCCCGUUGCGUAAUACCCCGGCGGGGACCGACGACCGCGCUUCGGCAAGGAUGCUGGCGUAAUGGUCAUCAGCGACCCGUCUUGAAACACGGACCGAGGAGUCAAGCAUUAGUGCGAGUGUUUGGGUGUAAAACCCGCACGCGUAAUGAAAGUGAACGUAGGUGAGAGCUUCGGCGCAUCAUCGACCGAUCCUGAUGUUUUCGGAAGGAUUUGAGUAGGAGCAUUAACGCUUGGACCCGAAAGAUGGUGAACUAUACUUGAAUAGGGUGAAGCCA